rnacentral:rRNA from 1 species
AAAAAUCAGGCAGUGGAGCGUUUUGGGGUGGGGUGACUGCGUACCUUUUGUAUAAUGGGUCAGCGACUUAUAUUCUGUAGCAAGGUUAACCGCAUAGGGGAGCCGGAGGGAAACCGAGUCUUAAUUGGGCGUUAAGUUGCAGGGUAUAGACCCGAAACCCGGUGAUCUAGCCAUGGGCAGGUUGAAGGUUGGGUAACACUAACUGGAGGACCGAACCGACUAAUGUUGAAAAAUUAGCGGAUGACCUGUGGCUGGGGGUGAAAGGCCAAUCAAACCGGGAGAUAGCUGGUUCUCCCCGAAAGCUAUUUAGGUAGCGCCUCGUGAAUUCAUCUCCGGGGGUAGAGCACUGUUUCGGCCAGGGGGCCAUCCCGGCUUACCAAUCCGAUGCAAACUGCGAAUACCGGAGAAUGUUAUCACGGGAGACACACGGCGGGUGCUAACGUCCGUCGUGAAGAGGGAAACAACCCAGACCGCCAGCUAAGGUCCCAAAGUCAUGGUUAAGUGGGAAACGAUGUGGGAAGGCCCAGACAGCCAGGAUGUUGGCUUAGAAGCAGCCAUCAUUUAAAGAAAGCGUAAUAGCUCACUGGUCGAGUCGGCCUGCGCGGAAGAUGUAACGGGGCUAAACCAUGCACCGAAGCUGCGGCAGCGACACUGAUGUGUUGUUGGGUAGGGGAGCGUUCUGUAAGCCGUUGAAGGUGGCCUGUGAGGGUUGCUGGAGGUAUCAGAAGUGCGAAUGCUGACAUAAGUAACGAUAAAGCGGGUGAAAAGCCCGCUCGCCGGAAGACCAAGGGUUCCUGUCCAACGUUAAUCGGGGCAGGGUGAGUCGACCCCUAAGGCGAGGCCGAAAGGCGUAGUCGAUGGGAAACGGGUUAAUAUUCCCGUACUUGGUGUUACUGCGAAGGGGGGACGGAGAAGGCUAUGUUGGCCGGGCGACGGUUGUCCCGGUUUAAGCGUGUAGGUGUGUGUUCCAGGUAAAUCCGGUUCACUUUAACACUGAGGCGUGACGACGAGGCACCACGGUGCUGAAGCAACAAAUGCCCUGCUUCCAGGAAAAGCCUCUAAGCCUCAGGUAACAUCAAAUCGUACCCCAAACCGACACAGGUGGUCAGGUAGAGAAUACCAAGGCGCUUGAGAGAACUCGGGUGAAGGAACUAGGCAAAAUGGUGCCGUAACUUCGGGAGAAGGCACGCUGACACGUAGGUGAAGUGGUUUACCCAUGGAGCUGAAGUCAGUCGAAGAUACCAGCUGGCUGCAACUGUUUAUUAAAAACACAGCACUGUGCAAACACGAAAGUGGACGUAUACGGUGUGACGCCUGCCCGGUGCCGGAAGGUUAAUUGAUGGGGUCAGCGCAAGCGAAGCUCCUGAUCGAAGCCCCGGUAAACGGCGGCCGUAACUAUAACGGUCCUAAGGUAGCGAAAUUCCUUGUCGGGUAAGUUCCGACCUGCACGAAUGGCGUAAUGAUGGCCAGGCUGUCUCCACCCGGGACUCAGUGAAAUUGAACUCGCUGUGAAGAUGCAGUGUACCCGCGGCAAGACGGAAAGACCCCGUGAACCUUUACUAUAGCUUGACACUGAACACUGGUCCUUGAUGUGCAGGAUAGGUGGGAGGCUUUGAAGUGUGGACGCCAGUCUGCAUGGAGCCAUCCUUGAAAUACCACCCUUUAAUGGCUGGUGUUCUAACGUGGGCCCGUGAACCGGGUUGCGGACAGUGUCUGGUGGGUAGUUUGACUGGGGCGGUCUCCUCCUAAAGAGUAACGGAGGAGCACGAAGGUUGGCUAAUCCUGGUCGGACAUCAGGAGGUUAGUGCAAUGGCAUAAGCCAGCUUGACUGCGAGCGUGACGGCGCGAGCAGGUGCGAAAGCAGGUCAUAGUGAUCCGGUGGUUCUGAAUGGAAGGGCCAUCGCUCAACGGAUAAAAGGUACUCCGGGGAUAACAGGCUGAUACCGCCCAAGAGUUCAUAUCGACGGCGGUGUUUGGCACCUCGAUGUCGGCUCAUCACAUCCUGGGGCUGAAGUAGGUCCCAAGGGUAUGGCUGUUCGCCAUUUAAAGUGGUACGCGAGCUGGGUUUAGAACGUCGUGAGACAGUUCGGUCCCUAUCUGCCGUGGGCGCUGGAAGAUUGAGGGGGGCUGCUCCUAGUACGAGAGGACCGGAGUGGACGCAUCACUGGUGUUCGGGUUGUCAUGCCAAUGGCACUGCCCGGUAGCUACAUGCGGAAGAGAUAAGUGCUGAAAGCAUCUAAGCACGAAACUUGCCCCGAGAUGAAUCUUCCCUGAGCCUUUAAGGCUCCUGAAGGAACGUUGAAGACGACGACGUUGAUAGGCCGGGUGUGUAAGCGCAGCGAUGCGUUGAGCUAACCGGUACUAAUGAACCGUGAGGCUUAACCUUACAACGCCGAAG